GUCUAUGGCCACGCCACCCUGAACAAGCCCAUCCCGUCUGAUCUCAGAAGCUACGUAGGGUCGGGUCGGGCCUGGUCAGUACUUGGAUGGGAGACCACCUCGGAAGACCAGAUGCUGUAGGUG
rnacentral:rRNA from 1 species